GAUGAAGAACGCAGCGAAAUGCGAUACGUAGUGUGAAUUGCAGAAUUUAGUGAAUCAUCGAAUCUUUGAACGCACAUUGCACCUCUCGGUAUUCCGGGAGGUAUGCCUGUUCGAGCGUCAUUUGUACCCUCAAGCUCUGCUUGGUGUUGGGUGUUUGUUCCGCCUCUGUGUGUGAACUCGCCUCAAAACAAUUGGCAGCCGGCGUACUUGUUUCGGAGCGCAGCACAUUUUGCGAUCCAGAUCAACGUACAGCGGCAUCCAAGAAGCCUUAUUUAACGCUCUUGACCUCGGAUCAGGUAGGGAUACCCGCUGAACUUAAGCAUAUCAAUAAGCGGAGGA
rnacentral:misc_RNA from 1 species